rnacentral:rRNA from 1 species
CACCCGCAGCUCGAGUGGUGGUCACUUUUAUUGAGCCUAAAGCGUUUGUAGCCGGUUUUGCAAAUCUUCAGAUAAAUUCCUCUGCUUAACAGAUGAUCUUCUGAAGAGACUGCGAGACUUGGGACCGGGUGAGGUUGAAGGUACUUCCGGGGUAGGGGUAAAAUCCUGUAAUCCUGGAAGGACGACCGGUGGCGAAGGCGUUCAACUAGAACGGAUCCGACGGUGAGGAACGAGGGCUAGGGUAGCAAACCGGAUUAGAUACCCGGGUAGUCCUAGCUGUAAACACUGCCCACUUGGUGUUGCCCCUCCGAUGAGGGGAGGCAGUGCCGGAGCGAAGGUGUUAAGUGGGCCGCUUGGGGAGUAUGGUCGCAAGGCUGAAACUUAAAGGAAUUGGCGGGGGAGCACCGCAACGGGAGGAGCGUGCGGUUUAAUUGGAUUCAACGCCGGAAAACUCACCGGGAGCGACCUUUGGAUGAGAGUCAGCCUGAUGAGCUUACUCGAUAGAAGGAGAGGUGGUGCAUGGCCGUCGUCAGCUCGUACCGUAGGGCGUUCACUUAAGUGUGAUAACGAGCGAGACCCCCAUCUCUAAUUGCUAACGUGCAUUCGCGUGCACGCGCACUUUAGAGGGACCGCCAGUGCUAAACUGGAGGAAGGAGGGGUCGACGGCAGGUCAGUACGCCCCGAAUCUCCCGGGCAACACGCGCGCUACAAAGGGCAGGACAAUGAGUUGCCACCUCGAAAGGGGGAGCUAACCUCGAAACCUGUUCGUAGUUAGGAUUGAGGGCUGUAACUCGCCCUCAUGAAUGUGGAUUCCGUAGUAAUCGCGGGUCAACAGCCCGCGGUAAAUAUGCCCCUGCUCCU